rnacentral:rRNA from 1 species
UGUGGAUCGGAGUGAAAGGCUAAUCAAGCCUGGAGAUAGCUGGUUCUCCGCGAAAUCUAUUUAGGUAGAGCGUCAUGUCUCACCACUGGGGGUAGAGCACUGUUUCGGCUAGGGGGCCAUCCCGGCUUACCAACCCGAUGCAAACUCCGAAUACCAGUGAGUGCAAUCAUGGCAGACACACGGCGGGUGCUAACGUCCGUCGUGAAGAGGGAAACAACCCAGACCGCCAGCUAAGGUCCCUAAAUCACAGUUAAGUGGGAAACGAUGUGGGAAGGCACAGACAGCUAGGAGGUUGGCUUAGAAGCAGCCAUCCUUUAAAGAAAGCGUAAUAGCUCACUAGUCGAGUCGGCCUGCGCGGAAGAUUUAACGGGGCUAAACUGUGUACCGAAGCUGCGGGUGCGUAUUUAUACGCGCGGUAGCGGAGCGUUCUGUACGCCUGUGAAGGUGUGUCGUAAGGCAUGCUGGAGGUAUCAGAAGUGCGAAUGCUGACAUGAGUAACGAUAAGGGGGGUGAAAAACCCCCCCGCCGGAAGACCAAGGUUUCCUGCGCAACGUUAAUCGGCGCAGGGUAAGUCGGCCCCUAAGGCGAGGCGGAAACGCGUAGUCGAUGGGAAGCAGGUUAAUAUUCCUGCACUUACAAUUAUUGCGAUGGAGGGACGGAGAAGGCUAGGCCAGCGCGGCGUUGGUUGUCCGCGUUUAAGCAAGUAGGCUGGGAGUUUAGGUAAAUCCGGACUCCUAAGGCUGAGAUGUGAUGACGAACCGAGUCUUUGUACUCGGAAAGUGGUUGAUGCCAUGCUUCCAGGAAAAGCUUCUAAGCUUCAGAUAAUUGUGAACCGUACCCCAAACCGACACAGGUGGUCAGGUAGAGAAUACCAAGGCGCUUGAGAGAACUCGGGUAAAGGAACUAGGCAAAAUGGCACCGUAACUUCGGGAGAAGGUGCGCCGCUUUUGGUGAUGGGACUUGCUCCCUAAGCUGAGGGCGGUCGAAGAUACCAGGUAGCUGCGACUGUUUAUUAAAAACACAGCACUCUGCAAACUCGUAAGAGGAAGUAUAGGGUGUGACGCCUGCCCGGUGCCGGAAGGUUAAUUGAUUGGGUUAGCUUCGGCGAAGCUCAUGAUCGAAGCCCCGGUAAACGGCGGCCGUAACUAUAACGGUCCUAAGGUAGCGAAAUUCCUUGUCGGGUAAGUUCCGACCUGCACGAAUGGCGUAACGAUGGCUACACUGUCUCUACCCGAGACUCAGUGAAAUUGAAUUUGCGGUUAAGAUGCCGUAUACCCGCGGCUAGACGGAAAGACCCCGUGCACCUUUACUACAGCUUUGCACUGGACUUUGAUUUUAUCUGUGUAGGAUAGGUGGGAGACUAUGAAGCAGUCACGCUAGUGAUUGUGGAGUCGACCUUGAAAUACCACCCUGAUAACGUUGAGGUUCUAACUUCGACCCGUAAUCCGGGUUAAGGACAGUGUAUGGUGGGUAGUUUGACUGGGGCGGUCUCCUCCCAAAGAGUAACGGAGGAGCGCGAAGGUACCCUCAGCAUGGUCGGAAAUCAUGCGAUGAGUGCAAUGGCAUAAGGGUGCUUGACUGCGAGACAGACACGUCGAGCAGGUACGAAAGUAGGUCAUAGUGAUCCGGUGGUUCUGUAUGGAAGGGCCAUCGCUCAACGGAUAAAAGGUACU